AUCAAUGUCAUUGAAAAAGAGGAUAGAACUUGCUCAAAAAGAAAUAGAGGUUUUAAGGAAGGAAAUAGAAGACCUUAAGACAUGGGUUGGUAUGAUAGAGACCAUGAAAGACGAACAAUUAAAGGAAUAUUUAGAAAAUCACGCUGAAGAAUUAAAAUUGACAAAGGGUCAAAAGAUCAAGAAUAAGAGGAGCUUGGAUCUGGCGGAGAAAGAGAUCACACUGUAGCGUUCUCACCUUCAUAGAAGCAUUUUCCAAGCAAGGGAUAGUGAAACUAUCUCACUCAUGUGAAAUAAAUGUGGGUAGUGGAAUUGUCCCUCAAUCUUGUAAGUUCUAUGAUGUGAGUUUUGGAGGGAUUUUGAACACUCAAAAGUUGUGUUGAAUCUAUAUGUGAUUUGG